CACCAAGUUGCCUGCUGAGGAGGAAGGCUCCCUGCACCAUCGGACAGGGCUUGCAUAAGACUGUCAGGCACUAUUGAACAGAGACAUUUGUGUUUAUCUGCCUACCUGGUAAGGGAAAGGGUGCCCCAGGUCCCGUGUGCAGGUGACAGUCACUGCUGUGCUGCAGCCAAAACGUGGAGUCUGUGGACAGCUGAAGUUCCAGUGGUGGAGCAGGGAAUGGGGAGAGGCAUGGAAGGUCCAGGUGGAGAGCCCACAGCCAAGAGAGACUGCUGUGCAGAAAAUGUGAUAGCAGCUGGUGAGUUGCAGCAGUCCCCAUCCCAGUGGGUUUGCCACCCUUUCACUGU
rnacentral:lncRNA from 1 species